CUGGUUGAUCCUGCCAGUUGCCAUAUGCUUGUCUCAAAGAUUAAGCCAUGCAUGUCUAAGUAUAAGCAAUUUAUACAGUGAAACUGCGAAUGGCUCAUUAAAUCAGUUAUCGUUUAUUUGAUAGUGCCUUUACUACUCGGAUAUCCGUGGUAAUUCUAGAGCUAAUACGUGCUAACAAUCUCGACUGUUUGGAAGGGAUGUAUUUAUUAGAUAAAAAAUCAAUGCUUUCGAGCUUCUUGAUGAUUCAUAAUAACUUUUCGAAUCGCAUGGCCUUGUGCUGGCGAUGGUUCAUUCAAAUUUCUGCCCUAUCAACUUUCGAUGGUAGGAUAGUGGCCUACCAUGGUUGCAACGGGUAACGGGGAAUUAGGGUUCGAUUCCGGAGAGGGAGCCUGAGAAACGGCUACCACAUCUAAGGAAGGCAGCAGGCGCGCAAAUUACCCAAUCCCGACACGGGGAGGUAGUGACAAUAAAUAACGAUACAGGGCCCUUUCGGGUCUUGUAAUUGGAAUGAGUACAAUUUAAAUACCUUAACGAGGAACAAUUGGAGGGCAAGUCUGGU
rnacentral:rRNA from 1 species